AUUGAACGCUGGCGGCAGGCCUAACACAUGCAAGUCGAACGGUAACAGGAAGCAGCUUGCUGCUUCGCUGACGAGUGGCGGACGGGUGAGUAAUGUCUGGGAAACUGCCUGAUGGAGGGGGAUAACUACUGGAAACGGUAGCUAAUACCGCAUAACGUCGCAAGACCAAAGAGGGGGACCUUCGGGACUCUUGCCAUCGGACGUGCCCAGAUGGGAUUAGCUAGUAGGUGGGGUAACGGCUCACCUAGGCGACGAUCCCUAGCUGGUCUGAGAGGAUGACCAGCCACACUGGAACUGAGACACGGUCCAGACUCCUACGGGAGGCAGCAGUGGGGAAUAUUGCACAAUGGGCGCAAGCCUGAUGCAGCCAUGCCGCGUGUAUGAAGAAGGCCUUCGGGUUGUAAAGUACUUUCAGCGGGGAGGAAGGGAGUAAAGUUAAUACCUUUGCUCAUUGACGUUACCCGCAGAAGAAGCACCGGCUAACUCCGUGCCAGCCGCCGCGGAAA
rnacentral:rRNA from 1 species